UCACAACACAAUGACGAAUCGUAUAAGGAAACAGGGACAGGGCCUUAAAGGUAGUUCCUUAUGAGGAUACAUUCACAACGUGACCGAGAUUUAAUAAGGAGAGAAGAAAAACUAUAAAAGGGAGGUUCUGUACGGCACUACCGUUAAAACAUGUUUGGAAAAUGUUAAGUGAAAGAGAUUACAU